rnacentral:rRNA from 1 species
UGCAAGUCGAGCGGUAACAGGUCCAGCUUGCUGGAUGCUGACGAGCGGCGGACGGGUGAGUAAUGCAUAGGAAUCUACCCGGUAGUGGGGGAUAACGUGGGGAAACCCACGCUAAUACCGCAUACGUCCUACGGGAGAAAGCGGAGGAUCUUCGGACUUCGCGCUAUCGGAUGAGCCUAUGUCGGAUUAGUUAGUUGGUGAGGUAACGGCUCACCAAGACCGCGAUCCGUAGCUGGUCUGAGAGGAUGAUCAGCCACAUCGGGACUGAGACACGGCCCGAACUCCUACGGGAGGCAGCAGUGGGGAAUAUUGGACAAUGGGCGCAAGCCUGAUCCAGCCAUGCCGCGUGUGUGAAGAAGGCUUUCGGGUUGUAAAGCACUUUCAGCGAGGAAGAACGCCUGAUGGUUAAUACCCGUCAGGAAAGACAUCACUCGCAGAAGAAGCACCGGCUAACUCCGUGCCAGCAGCCGCGGUAAUACGGAGGGUGCAAGCGUUAAUCGGAAUUACUGGGCGUAAAGCGCGCGUAGGUGGCAUGACAAGCCGGUUGUGAAAGCCCCGGGCUCAACCUGGGAACGGCAUCCGGAACUGUCACGCUAGAGUGCAGGAGAGGAAGGUGGAAUUCCCGGUGUAGCGGUGAAAUGCGUAGAGAUCGGGAGGAAUACCAGUGGCGAAGGCGGCCUUCUGGACUGACACUGACACUGAGGUGCGAAAGCGUGGGUAGCAAACAGGAUUAGAUACCCUGGUAGUCCACGCCGUAAACGAUGUCGACCAGCCGUUGGGUGCCUUGUGCACUUUGUGGCGAAGUUAACGCGAUAAGUCGACCGCCUGGGGAGUACGGCCGCAAGGUUAAAACUCAAAUGAAUUGACGGGGGCCCGCACAAGCGGUGGAGCAUGUGGUUUAAUUCGAUGCAACGCGAAGAACCUUACCUACCCUUGACAUCCUGCGAAUUUGCCAGAGAUGGCUUAGUGCCUUCGGGAACGCA